AAUUCUUCAGGCAGACAUCACCACUGAGAAAAGAUAUGGGUACUGUAUCCAGCAGGAUUCCAAACAAUGCCUUAAGGCUGGAAGUGUGGAGGGAGGGAGCAGGAACUUAAAUGGUCCUCAGGCUCCGAUAUCCUACCUGUCUGUGCCAGGCACUGAGAAUACAGAGAUGAGCAAAAGAGACACGGACCGCUCUGUGGAGAACCUGAAUGUUUACACGAAGGACACACAGAAGCAGACAAACCCUACAAGAUGGUGAAAUGAGUGCAGAGAGAAGUAUUUAACUCAUUCGUUCAUUAAAGGAAGCAAAUAUAUUCCCAGUAUCUACAUAUCCUCAGUAUCAGACCCUGAGCCUGAGCUAAAGAGGCGAAUGAGGAAGCAGCCAGCUAGAGGGAAGGGCAGAGAGAAGCCCCAAACACUCAGGGGACAUCAUCCGCUCAAAACCCAUCAGCGUCUUUGGAGAGGUUUGUACUGUUUUUAUAUUCUUUUUAUUUUAUCAUUUAAAAGUCGGGUUAUGGGGCGCCUG